AGCGAACGCUGGCGGCAGGCUUAACACAUGCAAGUCGAGCGGGCACUUUCGGGUGUCCGCGGCGGACGGGUGAGUAACGCGUGGGAACGUGCCCUCUGGUUCGGAAUAACUCAGGGAAACUUGAGCUAAUACCGGAUACGCCCUUUUGGGGAAAGGCUUGCUGCCGGAGGAUCGGCCCGCGUCUGAUUAGCUAGUUGGUGAGGUAACGGCUCACCAAGGCGACGAUCAGUAGCUGGUCUGAGAGGAUGAUCAGCCACACUGGGACUGAGACACGGCCCAGACUCCUACGGGAGGCAGCAGUGGAGAAUAUUGUACAAUGGGCGCAAGCCUGAUCCAGCCAUGCCGCGUGAGUGAUGAAGGCCUUAGGGUUGUAAAGCUCUUUUAUCCGGGACGAUAAUGACGGUACCGGAGGAAUAAGCCCCGGCUAACUUCGUG
rnacentral:rRNA from 1 species